UCACCAAGGCGACGAUCAGUAGCGGGUCUGAGAGGAUGAUCCGCCACGACUGGGACUGAGACACGGCCAGACUCCUACGGGAGGCAGCAGUGGGGAAUUUGGACAAGUGGGGGAAACCCUGAUCCAGCCAUGCCGCGUGCGGGAAGAAGGCCUUCGGGUUGUAAACCGCUUUCGGACAGAAAGAAAUCGCAUGGAUUAAUACUCUGUGUGGAUGACGGUACUGUAAGAAGAAGCACCGGCUAACUACGUGCCAGCAGCCGCGGUUACGUAGGGUGCGAGCGUUAAUCGGAAUUACUGGGCGUAAAGCGUGCGCAGGCGGAUAGUUUAAGUCAGACGUGAAAUCCCCGGGCUUAACCUGGGGAAUGGCGUUUGAAACUGGAUGUCUAGAGUGUGGCAGAGGGGGGUGGAAUUCCACGUGUAGCAGUGAAAUGCGUAGAGAUGUGGAGGAACACCGAUGGCGAAGGCAGCCCCCUGGGCUAACACUGACGCUCAUGCACGAAAGCGUGGGGAGC
rnacentral:rRNA from 1 species